AUCACCUUGCAACCAUCUGACCCUUCGAGUGCUUUCUGUGCCUCUGGAUCAGAUUCUUCCCUUUUUUAACAAAUUACAAAUGUGUAAAUGAAUCAAUUUUUAUACUAUAUGGUUUAACACUAAUAAAGAGUGCUAAAGUCUUUACCGGCAUCAGUUAAGUGUCAUUAAAUCCAGUAUCGCUAAAGACUUUAGGGACAUACACAGAGUGAUAAUUGCCGCUAAAAAUACAUAUUGAGUGGCAAUUAAGCUAUUGUUGUUAAUUAAUUACCGCUAAAAAUCAUUUUUGAUGUGUAAAUUGGCAUACAUAAUAACAUGUAAUGACUAUUAGUAUCAUGCUUGAUAUGAUAACCUGGAAAAUAGAGUGCGAACUGACAUAUAAUAUGUGUGUGAUCAAUGUAUAAUACGUGUAUAUUCACUAUAUAAUUGUUUGAGUAUAAUGAAAUUUUAGAGUACAUACAGGCGGGUACAAGUGAUGCCGCUGGAACAUUGGCAAAAGGGGUUGCCAGCCUUGGAACUCUCUGUUUUAGUAACAGAGCAAGACCAUCCUUCUGCACACUUGCACUCUACUUUCCCAUCUUCCACUCUUUC
rnacentral:lncRNA from 1 species